UACGGGGGGGGGCAAGCGUUGUUCGGAAUUAUUGGGCGUAAAGAGCUUGUAGGCGGUUUGUCGCGUCUGCUGUGAAAUUUCGGGGCUCAACCCCGAACUUGCAGUGGGUACGGGCAGACUAGAGUGUGGUAGGGGAGACUGGAAUUUACGGUGUAGCGGUGAAAUGCGUAGAUAUCGUAAGGAAGACCAGUGGCGAAGGCGGGUCUCUGGACAGUUCCUGACGCUGAGGCACGAAGGUCAGGGGGAGCAAACGGG
rnacentral:rRNA from 1 species